rnacentral:lncRNA from 1 species
GCCCAAGAAACAAGAACGGAGCACCGCGGAAUCAGUGGUUUUAUUUUUGAAUACUGAUUUGGUGUGCGUGCGUGCGCGCGCGCGUUUCACUGUUGCCGUUUUCUUUCGGCACCUGACUUUUCUUCCCACAGCCCGCACGCGGUUCUCGAUUAUCUGGUGAACAGUCUACCGGCUGCGACAACUUCGGCUUCCCUGGGGAAGCGUAGGGGUUCCUGGCCACCGCCGCAGCUAUAAGCGCGCCACUCAGUUUCCUGCGGUCGGCGAGUUCCCUUAUUAGUCCGCGGGCGCAGCAGAGCCUAUCCGGUCGAGUCGGGCCCCCGGGCAGCAGAAAGACUCCAGAGAAGCAAUCCCCAGCCUGGGUCUCCAGGCAAGCAAGCCCCGCAGCUCCUCCGCUGCUCCUCCGCAGCGCAUUGUGCCUGGCUACCCACCUGUCUGGGGUCCCCAUGGCCACUCCGGGCCUUCGUCCCUUGCUCUGGGCCUUGUCAGCUUCAGGCCAGCGCUACCCAUUGCUCUUCCCGUCCAGAUCCCACUGAGUUUGAGCGCUGCUGGCUUAAAGAUUUGUCCCACCCGGGACAGGGGGUGAAAAAGAAGCCGCGUUCAUUUUCCACGACAGCGUACAGGCACUAUUUUAU